rnacentral:rRNA from 1 species
AUUGAACGCUGGCGGCAGGCCUAACACAUGCAAGUCGAACGCGUGGCGGACGGGUGAGUAAUGUCUGGGACUACGCCUGAUGGAGGGGGAUAACUACUGGAAACGGUCGCUAAUACCGCAACCUCUCAGAUGUGCCGAGAUGGGAUUCGCUAGUUUGGGGGGUAACGGCUCACCAAGGCGACGAUCCCUAGCUGGUCUGAGCGGAUGACCAGCCACACUGGAACUGAGACACGGUCCAGACUCCUACGGGAGGCAGCAGUGGGGAAUAUUGCACAAUGGGCGCAAGCCUGAUGCAGCCAUGCCGCGUGUAUGAAGAAGGCCUUCGGGUUGUAAAGUACUUUCAGCGGGGAGGCGUUACCCGCAGAAGAAGCACCGGCUAACUCCGUGCCAGCAGCCGCGGUAAUAC